rnacentral:rRNA from 1 species
UACGUAGGGUGCAAGCGUUGUCCGGAAUUAUUGGGCGUAAAGGGCUCGUAGGCGGUCCAUCGCGUCGGGAGUGAAAAGCUGGGGCUUAACCCCAGUCCUGCUUCCGAUACGGGUGGACUAGAGGUAGGUAGGGGAGAAUGGAAUUCCUGGUGUAGCGGUGAAAUGCGCAGAUAUCAGGAAGAACACCGGUGGCGAAGGCGGGUCUCUGGGCCGAUACUGACGCUGAGGAGCGAAAGCGUGGGGAGCGAACAGG